AAACUGUCUCCCUUUUUUUGUUCUUUUUACAGGGUCUCACUCUCUCCCCAAGGCUGAAAUGAAGUGGCAGAAUCACAGUUCACCACAUCUUCAAGCUCCUGGGCUCAAGCAAUCUUCCUACCUCAGCCUCCUAGUAAAUCAACGAAGAAGAAGAAAAAAAGAAACCCUUGUUACCCAGGCUGGAGUGCAGUGGCGCUAUCUCAGCUCACCACAACCUCCACCUCCCAGAUUCAAGGUGGACUCACUUGUUAAGUGUACACAAAAAACAAAAUAUCCAAAUGUUUACUUUUGUUGUUAAGGUAUGCUCUUCGAUAAAAAGAGUAUUAUUUGAAAAACGC
rnacentral:lncRNA from 1 species